rnacentral:tRNA from 1 species
GCAGUGGUGGUUUAGUGGUAGAAUUCUCGCCUUCCAUGCAGGAGACCUGGGUUCAAUUCCCAGCCAAAGCG